GUCGAACGGCAGCACGGGAGCUUGCUCCUGGUGGCGAGUGGCGAACGGGUGAGUAAUAUAUCGGAACGUACCCUAGAGUGGGGGAUAACGCAGCGAAAGUUGCGCUAAUACCGCAUACGAUCUACGGAUGAAAGUGGGGGAUCGCAAGACCUCAUGCUCAUGGAGCGGCCGAUAUCUGAUUAGCUAGUUGGUGGGGUAAAGGCCUACCAAGGCAUCGAUCAGUAGCUGGUCUGAGAGGACGACCAGCCACACUGGAACUGAGACACGGUCCAGACUCCUACGGGAGGCAGCAGUGGGGAAUUUUGGACAAUGGGGGCAACCCUGAUCCAGCAAUGCCGCGUGAGUGAAGAAGGCCUUCGGGUUGUAAAGCUCUUUUGUCAGGGAAGAAACGGUGAGGGCUAAUAUCCUUUGCUAAUGACGGUACCUGAAGAAUAAGCACCGGCUAACUACGUGCCAGCAGCCGCGGUAAUACGUAGGGUGCAAGCGUUAAUCGGAAUUACUGGGCGUAAAGCGUGCGCAGGCGGUUAUGUAAGUCAGAUGUGAAAUCCCCGGGCUCAACCUGGGAAUGGCAUUUGAGACUGCAUGGCUAGAGUGUGUCAGAGGGGGGUAGAAUUCCACGUGUAGCAGUGAAAUGCGUAGAGAUGUGGAGGAAUACCGAU
rnacentral:rRNA from 1 species